rnacentral:misc_RNA from 1 species
GAUGAAGAACGUAGCGAAAUGCGAUACGUAAUGUGAAUUGCAGAAUUCAGUGAAUCAUCGAGUCUUUGAACGCACAUUGCGCCCUCUGGUAUUCCGGAGGGCAUGCCUGUCCGAGCGUCAUUUCAACCCUCAAGCCCCCGGGCUUGGUGUUGGGGAUCGGCGAGCCUCCGCGCCCGCCGUCCCCUAAAUCUAGUGGCGGUCUCGCUGUAGCUUCCUCUGCGUAGUAGCACACCUCGCACUGGGAAACAGCGCGGCCACGCCGUUAAACCCCCAACUUCUGAACGUUUGACCUCGGAUCAGGUAGGAAUACCCGCUGAACUUAAGCAUAUCAAUAAGCGGAGGA